rnacentral:rRNA from 1 species
AAGAGGGUCUGNUCGACCCUUAAAUAAUUACAUGAUUUGAGUUCAGACCGGUACAAGCCAGGUCGGUUUCUAUCUUNUAAAAAAUACUGNNCAGUACGAAAGGACCUACAAUUAUUAUUUCAUAAUAUAUUGGCAGACAAUGCAUUAGAAUUAGAAUCUAAUUAAUUCAUAAUAAAAUUAUUAAUAUUUUCAUUAAAUACUUUAAUG